GAAAUCAUGAGGACAGUCGCUGAACAAGGAAGGGCAUUGAUGAUCCCUCCAGGUGCUCCAGAUAAAGCUAACGAAUUACGAGCAGCCCUACAGCGUGCAAUGCAUCGCCUGCGCAAGGUAGCCGCCCGCCUUGGUUGUCGACAACCCACCAGCGUAGUGGAGCCCCAACAGUUUGGUGGAGCAGGCGGCUCUGAAGGAGCUGGCCCGUCUACCACGCAUGGAGCUGGGGCUUCUAUAGAAGUUGAAGAGGAACAAGGACAAGGAGAAGGCGAGGGUUAUGGGGUUGAUGACCAAGAAGAGAUUAGCAUGUCACAGCUGGGUGAUGCUCCACAAGGUACGCAGGGUGCCUCUACCUCUGGACGUCCACAAAGGGCGACCCGACCUGUUGAGAGGUACACUCCCGGUUCCCAUGCGCUGCCAAGGGAAAAGCGUGGUGGUCGGCGUCCACGUUAGGGUCACAAUAUGGAUGAGCGGCUUCUUUUGUCUUCAACGACUUUGUGGAUGGCUCGACAAUGUCAAAUGAACUAUGUGCAAACUCUAUGUGUGAACGCCAAUUAACAAUGUGUAAUUAACUCAUGUAUGGACUAUGUGUGAACGACUAUGUUAUGUAUGAGCUACUCUAAUAUCCAAUCAAGUAUGGAC